UACGUAGGGGGCAAGCGUUGUCCGGAAUCAUUGGGCGUAAAGCGCGCGUAGGCGGCCCUGUAAGUCCGUUGUGAAAGUCAAAGGCUCAACCUUUGAAAGCCGAUGGAUACUGCAGGGCUAGAGUCCGGAAGAGGCGAGUGGAAUUCCUGGUGUAGCGGUGGAAUGCGCAGAUAUCAGGAGGAACACCGAUGGCGAAGGCAGGUCUCUGGGCCACUACUGACGCUGAGAAGCGAAAGCAUGGGGAGCGAACAGG
rnacentral:rRNA from 1 species